rnacentral:lncRNA from 1 species
AUGCAGACGGACAAAAAAGGCGUUAGUGGUGCAGACACCGCUGAAAACGAAACCCAGUCAUAUUCUGAAGUUGAACUCGAAGGAAAUGAAGUGAACCCCUGGCCAUAUUUAUGCUCUAUGCAGUGUAAACUGUGCUUACCUAGAGAGACCAAACUAGCAGCUUAUAAAAUCUCGACAUCGACCCUUCGCAAGCAUGUAGAGGAUGUCCAUCCCAACAUUACUAGAGAUUACACCAGCUCCAGUUUGGAUCCAGCCUCACUUGUGAAGACUUCUUAUGAUGCCAACGAUCACAAAGACUUCAGAUGACGGCAACUGUAAAUGGCCAUACAAAACUGACUAAUAUUAUCCAUAUGUUGCCUAUAGUGGUCAUAUGGGAGUAUAUAUGGAGUUAUGUGUACCUAUAUGUCCCCUUCUUUUUGUGAGCAGCACUCUGCAGGAUGAUGCAAAAUGACUUGUUUUGACAAAAUUACAAAAAUAAACUUUUUGCAGCAUAAAAAUGAAAAAUGCUGUCUUUAAAAUAAACUUGGUAUCAGAGAAAGAAUAAACAUUGUUCUUUUCCAUAUUUUACAAACAUUGCAACAACACAAAAUGGAUUGAAAAUUCUUGAAUGUAAACGUUAAUAAUGUUGAAAGAUUGUGUUUAACUGAGCACAUGACUAAAGACUGGUUUAGUAAGAUUUUAUCAGAAAAUAUAUUUAUCAUACAAUUUAACUGCUUAAUUAUUGUUUGCCUGGUUUUUGUUUUAUGAAACUUGUAUUAUUGUACCUCAGUUUUUGCCAUGAAGAUAGCCUUUGGUUGGGGACUUUCAUAAAAUGAAGAUUAACAAAAAGAUGUGUAAAAAUUGCUUGUUUCAUUAAGUACGUCUUUUUGUUGAAAAAUCUUAUUCAGGUCAGUACUAAAUUAAAAAUAACAUGCAUUUUGCAUGAUCCCUCUUAUUUUGUUAAAAUAAUUAACAUUUUGCAGAUUCUGCAGGGGUGCAUGUAAACUUGAAUGUAAGUCUAAAUCUGAAAAUUGAUAUAUAAAUGUUUUUUUUUUUUUCUUCUCACUGAUAUUGAAAAAAAGUUAGCCUUUUACCCAGC